AAAAACAUCUAAAGACACUGAAGCAGCAAACUUUGUGAAAAUUAAUAUUUGUGUCAUUCUCAAAACUUUUGGCCAUAACUGUACAAUGACUGGGACCAGCUGGUGGUUCGGCUGGACAUCUGGCACCUGAUGGGGCAGUUUGCGUCAGGUGUCACCACUGAGAGCCACCAGAUCUACGGUCCCUUCAUGCGGCAGCUGUCAGCCUGCAUCUUUGAGUGGGAGGCGAUGUCCGCCGACUGCUGGAGGCCAAGAGGUCUGAGAUGGAGGGGAAGCACGGGAUGGUCGGUCUCACAGAGGCAGAGACUGAGGUAAAUCGCCAGUAAGGAGAUGGCACUUCACUGUCGGGGUUUACAGUGGCGACGAGGUGAUUAAACUACAUAAAUGGACAUUGCUUGAAGGGAAGAAUGUUGCGUGAGUAAUGAAACUCAAAAUAAUUAUGUAAUUCGUCAGUUAUUUAUUUAUUUAUUUUUUUAAAUUUUCUUUCGCCAGUCAGAGAAGACUAACCACAGCUAGCACUGCUAGUACAGUAUUCAGGAGCUGCCAAGUAGCAAGACUAUUGGAGUCCAGAAUAGCGACACUGCCCUCUGGUGGUUAAAUAAAAUAAACUGUCAUUGAACCCAUUGGAAUUAGUCGAUCUCAGUGGAGAAAUAUUGUCAAGGGGAAAAAAAGGAAGAAGGGACGUAACAAAUGAGUGCAGUGAAUGAAGUAAUUGCAGAAACUUCUGAAGUGAAGAAGUAGAUGAAUAUUCAGAAAAUUAAGGAAUAUAACAAACUAACUGUACUCCCGUCUCCUGCCUGGUCAUUUCUCCACAACACAAAUAUUACAGUGGAGAUGCGGCGACCAAAGUCUUUCUCCUUGACCUCUUUGAGACCUUCAACAGCGAGAAGGGGGUCGACACCCUGGGCAUCCCGUUGCUGGACUCCAUACGGAUGCGCCACAUCCACUGUAUACAGGACCCACGAGAUCGGCAAAUGCCGGUAUAUCGCUGAGCACGGGGCUCCACAUCCUUGGAGUCAUUCUACCUCCACCUCAACCGGUACCAGGGCAAUUGCAAUGCAUUUCCAGGCAUUCCUGUUGGAUGGACUGAUGAGGUGGAACGAGGACCGUGCGCAGGCAGCAGUGGAGGGAAAGAACAGGAAGCCCCUGCUCUCCUACAGUGGCCACCUGCAGCACAUCCUUAACCUUAGCAGCCAAAGGGUUGCUUGGCGAGGAACAGGGUAAGGACUACACCAAGCCUAGCGAGUACAGGGGUAAGUUGAGUAAGAGAAUGAACAUUUACAUCAGUUGCAUUAAUCCCAUUAACACUUCCCUACUCUGCUUUUGCCGGAGAUUUUUGUUGUUGUUGUUUUGUUCCUUUAAUAGGGAACUCCCAGAGUGGAGUACCUGUACUGGCAAAGUGCUGCGGACCCUGACCUUCCGGAAGAGGCAGCCGCCAUCGAGCAGGACGAGGUUUUUCAGGAGGAGGUUGUGGACCAGACAGUCCACAUCCCUCAUGUCACUCCUAUGAGUGCCCCGUCCUCCAGCUCAGCGGCACCUCUGUCAGGGGAACCCGCUGACGCAUCCAGGUCUGGGCCAUCCAGUCCCACUGCCCUUGCAGACGGAAGCUCUCCUGAGGCCCCUGGUCGACACGGUUCUCCUCACCCUGACCCACUCCUCUGAUUCAGAGGCUUGCCAGGGCCUUGGUGGGGGUAAGGAACCGUCAGGGGCUGUCCGACCGCAGGAAAGACGGGCUGGUGGCGCCAGACUUGACAAGCAACGCUUGAUCUACCCUGCCCGGCACCAGGAGAGGAACGUUCAGGGGCGGUUCAAGGCAACGAAGGGGAAGUUGUCCAUUAUCCUAGGAAAAGACUCUUUCCAAUGUUGCCUUCCCGGACUCAACUCGGGCCCUGCAAAUUGGCCAGGGCACCAGCCAUUUGGUGGAGGCCAUUUGCAGUCAGCUCUGCCAAAUCCAUCCCAGCGCCACGCAGUCUGCCGGCGUCAAGAACAGCAGGUGGGCGCUCAUUCUGGCAGACGACGUGGCCAUCAGGGAGGCAGUGCUGAACAGCCCAAGGUUGAUGGCCCAGACGAACCUUCAGCUCUUUGAGCUGAAUCAAAGGACCAUCAGUCAGUGGUACUCCCGGCGUCAGAAGGAGAGGAUGGUGCUGUAGCAGGGAUUGAGGCUCGCUGCUGCCCCCAGCGUCACCACCCAGCGUCUUCGCCCAGCGUCACCGCCAAGCCCCUCCACUUCAAGCAGGAGGGAAUCAAGGCACCCUUCCCUUUCCCUACGCUGCCCUCCCCCCGGUCCCACGCCAGACCACCCAGCAAAGAGAGCCCAGCCCGCCCACGUGCCCAUUCUGCCAGCCCACCUGGAGCAACAACCCCCCGCACUUCCCGGCCCCUCCCAAGCCCAAGGACCACAGACUGGCUGCUCUUCACCGCCCCCAGUGCCAAGGACAAUGGCUUGGAGGAGGAUGGCGAUGGUGGACACAGAGGAGGUGACAGCCGGGAAGAGAAGGCAACGUGAGCAUUACGUCUGCGCCAAAUGCGGCUUGCCGAAGUGGCGGGAGACGGGCCACAGUUCUGUUGCUGCAGCGGGUGAGAACGUGGCCCAGUGGCUGGUGGAAAUGAAGGACACUAAGGGAUGAGGUGAAGAACACUGAGCCACUGGCUGGGUGGUCAGACGUUUUUAUUUGUAAAUAGUUCACUGUUCCCCUCUACCUGGACCGAGAUCUUGAGUGCGUUGUAGAGGCUUGUGUGUGUUGAGGACCCUCAGAGCUAUAUUGUCUGUAGUCUAUAAGACUACUGGUAGGGUAACCCAUGGUAGGCAGUUCUGAGGCGAGACACCAGACUAACAUCGGUCCGUUCCCAAACAAAAUACUAUAAAAAAAUUAAGAGGAUAGACAUUAAAAUAUACAAAUCAAACAUGAUUUAUCAACACAUCUUCAGGUGAAAACUCAACUUCUUGGUAGAGCUGAUGUUUUUCUCUACAGCAGUAGCUAGAACACAUAGGUAAAACAAGGUAUGACUAGCUUACCUUUCGCAAACAUUUCUGUCCACAUUUCGGUCAGUGGCCCAGAUGCACUGUACAUUAGAGGAAUUAUGGUGUUAUUUUGUUUGUAGAGAUUGAUGACAUUUAUUUCAUGUUUAUUGGAUUUACAUUGCAAUAAUUAUCUUCCGUUUCGUCCUGUUUCCCUAUGUAUACUCUGGUUCAUCAUUAAAACUCCUAGACUGGG